rnacentral:rRNA from 1 species
AGUGAACGCUGGCGGUAGGCCUAACACAUGCAAGUCGAACGGCAGCACAGUAAGAGCUUGCUCUUACGGGUGGCGAGUGGCGGACGGGUGAGGAAUACAUCGGAAUCUACUUUUUCGUGGGGGAUAACGUAGGGAAACUUACGCUAAUACCGCAUACGACCUACGGGUGAAAGCAGGGGAUCUUCGGACCUUGCGCGAUUGAAUGAGCCGAUGUCGGAUUAGCUAGUUGGCGGGGUAAAGGCCCACCAAGGCGACGAUCCGUAGCUGGUCUGAGAGGAUGAUCAGCAAAACUGGAACUGAGGCACGGUCCAGACUCCUAAGGGAGGCAGCAGUGGGGAAUAUUGGACAAUGGGCGCAAGCCUGAUCCAGCCAUACCGCGUGGGUGAAGAAGGACUUCGGGUUGUAAAGCCCUUUUGUUGGGAAAGAAAAGCAGCAGGUUAAUACCCCGCUGUUCUGACGGUACCCAAAGAAUAAGCACCGGCUAACUUCGUG